UACGUAGGGGGCAAGCGUUGUCCGGAUUUAUUGGGCGUAAAGAGCGUGUAGGCGGCCUGAAAGGUCAGCUGUGAAAACUCGAGGCUCAACCUCGAGACGUCGGUUGAAACCAUCUGGCUAGAGUCCGGAAGAGGAGUGUGGAAUUCCCGGUGUAGCGGUGAAAUGCGCAGAUAUCGGGAAGAACACCCGUGGCGAAGGCGGCACUCUGGAACGGUACUGACGCUGAGACGCGAAAGCGUGGGGAGCGAACAGG
rnacentral:rRNA from 1 species